CUUUUAGAACCUUUGAAGGCCAUUACGAGUUCUUAGUUAUGCCUUUCGGCCUUGCUAAUGCACCAUCUACCUUUCAGGCAGCCAUGAAUGAUUUACUCAGGCCCCAUCUACGACACUUUGUCCUAGUUUUUUUUUUUAUGACAUUCUCAUUUACAGCAAAUCCAUGCAAGACCACAUUCACCACCUCACUUUGAUCCUUCAAUUAUUAGACACUCAUAAAUUCUUUGUUAAGGAAUCAAAAUGUGUGUUUGCCACAACCAGAGUCUCAUACCUGGGCCAUCUUUUGGAAGAAGGCACAGUGGCUCCAGAUCCAGAUAAAAUCAAGGCUAUCAUACGUUGGCCUAAACCUACAUCCCUUACUACCCUACGUGCGUUUCUGGGUAUUACGGGAUUUUAUCGGAAGUUCAUCAUCAACGUUUACAUGGAAUACAAAUGCAGAGGAAGCCUUUACAAAAUUGAAAAAUAUCCUAACUACGACUCCAGUAUUGAGUCUUCCGAAUUUCGCCAUACCGUUCGUGGUAGAAACCAACGCCUCCAACAUAGCAAUUGGAGUUGUGCUAUCCCAAGAAGGUCACCCCAUUGCUUUCUUCAGCAAUAAACUUUGCCAAAAAAUGCAAGCUAGCUCGGCAUAUGUCAAGGAAAUGCUAGCUAUAACAGAAGCUGUCAAAAAGUGGCGUCAUUAUCUCAUAGGUACACAUUUCACAGUAAUAACAGACCAACAAAGCUUAAAGGGGUUACUUACCAAUGCAUGCCACACACCAGAACAACAAAAGUGGGCUACCAAGCUGCUUGAAUACAGUUUUGACAUCCGAUACCGCCUAGGCCGCCAAAAUCAAACUGCUGAUUUCUUGUCCCGGCCACCCCAAUCCCUCCUUUUGGCCAUAUCUUCCCCGAUUCCGAACAUGUUCAAGGAAUUACAAGAUUAUUACAAAACAAAAAAGGGAGAAGAAGAGGUUCACAGAUUAAUUUCAUUACCUGACACUCAUUACAGUUUUCACCACGACCUUCUAUACCAUGCUCAAAGAUUAUACGUUCCUUCCAUAGAGCACAUUCGUUCGGCCAUACUCCACGAGUUCCAUGCUUCUCCCACCGCCGGCCACUCAGGCAUUAAGGCCACCAUGGCGAGGCUCGUAGCCUCCUUUUUCUGGCCUGGUAUGUACCGCGACACCAAAAGAUAUAUCAAGGAAUGCCUACCCUGCCAACAAAACAAAUCAUUACAUCAGAAACCUUGUGCAUUACUCCAACCCAUACCCAUACCAACCAAACUGUGGGAAGAACUAACUACAAAUUUCAUCACGCACCUACCUUCAUCUUUUGGGCACACAGUCAUCUGGGUUGUUUGUGACAGGCUCUCCAAAUCAGCCCACUUCAUCGCCCUCCCCACGUCCUUCACAGCCAACCAUUUAGCUAACCGUUUUUCUAUUGAAAUUUGCAGGUUACAUGGAGUCCCUAAAUCCAUCAUUUCAGACCGUGAUCCAGUGUUCCAGGGCCGUUUUUGGAAGGAGUUGUUUCAUCUGCAAGGCACAAAAUUAAAGUUCAGUACGGCGUAUCACCCCCAAACCGAAGUUAUAAAUCGUUGUUUAGAAGCUUACCUUAGGUGUUUUACCAGUGAAAACCCUCGAACAUGGUAUCGCUAUCUCCACCUUGCGGAGUUUUAGUACAACUCCUCAUACCAGUCGACCAUCAAAACUACACCCUUCCAGGCUCUGUAUGGACGAUUGCCUCCUUCCAUUCCAGAUUAUGUUCCAGGAACUGCCACAAAACCAACACUGGACACCACGCUACAGGACCGUGCGCGAAUGCUGCACCAGUUAAAAGCCACGCUGAAAGCAAACAAAUCAAGACGUGAUUACCAUUUUUUAGAAAACGACUGGGUACUGCUUCGACGACAAGCUUACCGCCAGACAUCACUCUCGUCCAAGACUCACAAUAAGCUUGGACAAAGGUUCUUCGGUCCCUAUCCCGUUAAACGACGCAUCGGUAAAGUGGCAUAUGAACUUUUCCUUCCCCUGUCAUCACGUAUCCAUCCAGUCUUCCACAUCUCUCUUCUCAAACCUUAUCACGGCCCAACCCCACCGUCGCAUUUCCAAUUCCCUCUCGAAACAGAGAACCCAAUAAUACCAACCCACGACCUCCCAACUCUCUUCCCAAACUACACUUCACAUUCUGAGAUUUCUAAUACUCCUUCUACCUCAUUAAACACGAACCCAACUAAAGAACCCACAAAAGCCGCAUCUGCAGACACGUGGAAACCAUCUACGGUCCACGCCCCACUUAAACUGGCACCACCCUCUUUUGCAUGUGACCUUACACUUCCCAAAGCCCCACCAGCUGUAAUCCACGCACCAAAACCACUCAU
rnacentral:lncRNA from 1 species